UACGAAGUCCUCCAACAGCUCCACAAAAGCAUUAUUGACGUUUACAUAGUGCAGUUCACGAGGGCAAUGUCUCCGAACGCUUCACAAGGCAGGGAUCAGAUGCCAAGUAGGGAGGAAGAGGGAAGACGACUGUCGGUGCAGUCAAAGAGUGUUCGGAAUUUCCCAAUUGGGUUCUUCAAAAGGGCACGAUAAAGCCGCGUGCAAAGCUGGUGCCUCCUGUUGGAAUCCUGUAAGAGAACAGAAACAGUGAUGACAAAACCUGGAGAUGUGAGGCUGGGAGCUACUAUCACAGCAGAAUGGCACAAUACUGGGGACUGCUUUUCCUGGUAUGAAGAGUUAAGGGGAUCAUCAUUGACCAUGUGGCCUUCAGUGACCUAUGUGUCUGCACACCAAUGUCUCUCUGCUCCGCUUAUCAUUUAUGAUGGGUUUACUUUCUGUAUUCUGAACACUAAAAUGUAACAUUUUACAUUAUUAAACUCAUCUGCCACUGA